rnacentral:rRNA from 1 species
GAUUUCUGACGAUUUGAUUUCAGGCCGGCCACGGUUUCGUGUGUUAGUGCUUGAAAUCUUCGUCAUCCUUCCAAUGGCUAUUCAUCCUUCUUCAUUGAGGUGGUGAGUGGUAUUGGAUCUUUUACUUUGAAAAAAUUAGAGUGUUUCAAGCAGGCUUUAUGCUAUGAAUACAUUAGCAUGGAAUAAUAAUUUAGGACUUCGGUUCUAUUUUGUUGGUUUCUAGGACUGAAGUAAUGAUUGAUAGGGAUAGUUGGGGGUGCUAGUAUUCAGCGGCCAGAGGUGAAAUUCUCGGAUUCGCUGAAGACUAACUUAUGCGAAAGCAUU